rnacentral:tRNA from 1 species
CUAGAGAGGCAGGCCUUGAUCCUACAACAAUUUAAUU